GCGUGUCAGCACUUCGAAUAUAUUCUAUAUUAUCAUCCUGAGAAUACAAAGAACACAACAUGGAGAAGACGGAGAACAGUGUCCAGGAAUUAGUCACUGGAAGAGACAUGGACACAUGGGAGGGUGAUGGAGCUGUACUCAGCACUGGAUAUGGUGAAGAAGAGUAUAGAACACUGGCCAGGAAAGACGACUUUCUCCAUUCCUAUCCCUGUCAAAAUUCUGGACUUAUAAACGCUGAGGCGGAGGGGUUCCAACCUCUCAAAGAUUUGUGCCCCAAGCGUCAUUUUUUUUCUAUUAAAUUUUUCAUAUUUAA